rnacentral:rRNA from 1 species
CGCGCUACACUGACAGAGCCAGCGAGUUUUUUUUCCUUGGCCGGAAGGUCUGGGUAAUCUUGUGAAACUCUGUCGUGCUGGGGAUAGAGCAUUGCAAUUAUUGCUCUUCAACGAGGAAUUCCUAGUAAGCGUGAGUCAUCAGCUCGCGUUGAUUACGUCCCUGCCCUUUGUACACACCGCCCGUCGUUACUACCGAUUGAAUGGCUUAGUGAGGUCUUGGGACCCCUGCGUCGGGAGUCGGCAACGACACCUGAAUGCCGGAUUGGAACUUGAUCAAACUUGGUCAUUUAGAGGAAGUACAAGUCGUAACAAGGUUUCCGUAGGUGAACCUGCGGAAGGAUCAUU